CUUGGUCAACCCAUCGUGACGCCGAGAUUCGCCCACCUGCCCAGAGACCAGCUGGAGAGACUGGGCCAGCUGGCAGCCAAGCACCAGUGCACAUCCAGAGCCACCUGUGCGAGAGCCGGGCGGAGAAAGCCUGGGUGAAGGACUGUUUCCGGGACGAAGAACUAACGCUGAGUGUUAUGACAGCACGGGACUGCUGACGGAGAAGAUUGCUCGGGAGGGUUCAGCGCGUCUAUACUCGAUUCCCUUCGUCAGGCCGUCUUGGUAUCGAAGGCUCUGUCGUCGAUGUCGGAUUCCCCUCAUCUGACCCUCGAGGAAUCUUUUCGUCUGGCUACGCUAGGGGGCGCUAAAGUGCUUCAUAUGAGCGAUCGGAUCGGAACUUUGAGCCCGGAGAAGGAAUUCGAUGCUCUUCUGGUCGACGUGGAAGCCAAGGGGACCCCGCUGGAUAUAUUCCCCGAGGUAUGUUGG